GACGAAGGAUGCAAGCGUUAUCCGGAUUCAUUGGGUUUAAAGGGUGCGUAGGCGGCCCGGUAAGUCAGUGGUGAAAGCCUGUUGCUUAACAACAGAACUGCCAUUGAUACUGCUGGGGCUUGAGUACAGAUGCUGUGGGCGGAAUAUGACAUGUAGUGGUGAAAUACAUAGAGAUGUCAUAGAACACCGAUUGCGAAGGCAGCUCACAAAAACUGUAACUGACGCUGAGGCACGAAAGUGCGGGGAUCAAACAGG
rnacentral:rRNA from 1 species